GCAUAGAAUUCAUGGAAUUAAGAAUUACUUUUAUGAUUCCGUCGUCGUCGGACCUCAAUGUUUCUCAGUCAAAUUCAUAAAAUCAUGGUUGAGGGAGAUGGAACCAUGCAUAGAAUUCAUGGAAUUAAGAAUUACUUUUAUGAUUCCGUCGUCGUCGGACCUCAAUGUUUCUCAGUCAAAUUUAUAAAAUCAUGGUUGAGGGAGAUGGAACCAUGCAUAGAAUUCAUGGAAUUAAGAAUUACUUUUAUGAUUCCGUCGUCGUCGGACCUAUAUGCUUCUCAGUCAAAUUCAUAAAAUCAUGGUUGAGGGAGAUGGAGCCAUGCAUAGAAUUCAUGGAAUUAAGAAUUACUUUUAUGAUUCCGUCGUCGUCGGACCUCAAUGUUUCUCAGUCAAAUUCAUAAAAUCAUGGUUAAGGGAGAUGGAACCAUGCAUAGAAUUCAUGGAAUUAAGAAUUACUUUUAUGAUUCCGUCGUCGUCGGACCUCAAUGUUUCUCAGUCAAAUUCAUAAAAUCAUGGUUGAGGGAGAUGGAACCAUGCAUAGAAUUCAUGGAAUUAAGAAUUACUUUUAUGAUUCCGUCGUCGUCGGUCCCAAAUGCUUUUAAUUAGAUUAAUAAAACGAUGCAAGCUAAAAUCAUAAGAAAAUAAAAUACGUGAUAUCAGAGCCCAUUUCUAUGAUUUUGGGACCUAUCCAUCAUCCUUUUUUUCUAUGAGCAAGCAGCACUUUUUAGUUGGCCUCUAGUUAGUGAAGAUAUGUAAUGUUCAAAUAUAAAAGAGAACAACAAUGAUCGAACUCACCGGAUAAUCAUAUUUAGCUGGUUUAUUAUUUUUGUCUUUGGCAUCUACAUCCAACAGGCUAAGAAUGCCCUCCAAACCACAUCAAUUGUUCACUAGUUCACAUCACUUGCAGAGUCUCCGAACUCGUCGAACGAUGGAUAAACCGGAAAAAUAGAGAGAAUUACCGAAAAUUAACGCGCGAUUCUCACUUUGCUUCACCCUCCGUACAUAAACUCGGAACUACGACGGAUGGCACAACGAAAACGCGAACUGGGCACUGUUUACUUUUUGCGCGUUUACUUUUUAGUCAAUCGACUCCCAACAACCUGCCGAAUCUUACGGGCACACUGUUUCGAUGUUCCAUUUCCUCAUAUAUGCACAUUUAUUACUCUAACCAAAAAAAAACUUUGCAAAAAUAGCAGGUUCAACUUUUUCCACAUGUCUGUGCUGAACGACCGCGCGAUUUAUAUAAUUGCAUAUGGCAGAUAAGUGUAACGCUAGGAAGCGACCAUGAAUAUAAUUUAUGAAAAUGCUUGUUUCUAUUCAUAUUUCUGGUCAACUCAUUCAUGAUAUUAUGUGUAGUAGGCUAUAGUAGGCAUUGACUUAGGAUACAGAUUAGGUUUGACAUUAGACUGGCUUAGAAUGUAAUAAACCACUGAAACAGCAAGACGUGUAAUUAUUGCUAUAAUUCAGAAGUGGGAUAACAUCAUGUUCCUUCGAAGCCAAAAAACUUCCGCUGAACUGGAGAAAAAUGCUACACCGAGUAUUGGAGAAAUGGAGAAUCAGGGAUAUCUCGAAAAUUCUGCCGAAACCGUCUACCCAAGUUACUCAAAUGCUGCUGGCAGUGCUGUUAAUUCUGUCGAUUCGCUAUCCAGGAGAGUGGAGGAUGAUAUGCAUUUUGAAAUGAGGAGAAGUUCACUUGAAGAAGGCGGACAAUUUGCUGCAGGUAUCGUCGUGUCAAGCGCAAUGAAUGCUGCAGCUGCCGCUGUCCAACCGACUGCCGGAUCAGUGUCGAAUUGCAUUGGAAACGGUGGCGGAGACAAUAUUUGUGAUGUGUGUAACAAUAAUCGUGGAAAUUUGUCGGCUCAAGGAGAAAUCUCAGGGAUCAACGCAAGUCCUGUUGGUCCACCAGUUCAUUUCAAACCAGAAGAAAUUUCACUGAUGCUGCCGUCGUAUUCUGGAAGUGCUGAAGAAGAUGUCAACCAUUUUGUUGCUAUACUUGAAAACACGAAACAAGCUUUGAAUAUCGAUGAUUUCAUUAUGAAGCUGGUUGUCAUUCGUAAUCUGAAAGCUAAUGCUCUAUCGUGGUUACACUCUCAAGCGGAUUUUAUGACGAAGGAUUAUGCUGAAAUAAUUAGAAGUUUGAAGGUGUUUUUCGACCGCCCAAUCAAUACGUUUGAGAUUAGGAAGCGCUUGGAGAAGAAAACAUGGUCUGGACUAUUUGAAACCUUUGCCGAUUACUGUCAAGCUAAGAAAGUUCUUGCCCAAAAAUUGAAGAUGCCGGAUCAAGAAUUAGUAGACUACAUUGUGGAAGGCAUUUUGGAUCCCGUUCUUAAAAAUCAAGCCAGAAUGUCAAACUUCAAAACCGUUACAGAAAUAGUUCAAGCUUUUCGCAUGAUUGGAAAUGAUUCAAGAUAUCAAGCCCCAUUGAGAAAUUCAGUCAAGUGCUACACCUGUAAUCAGUUUGGACAUGUUGCUGCUUGUUGCUGGAAGACGCGUGAAAAUUUUGGACAACCGGAACGAUAUCAGAGAAAUCCUGGUAAUGGAAUUGCUGCAUCAAAACGAGUGAAUGCUGUUGCAGAAAAUGACUUAGCACUAGGAGAUGGACGACAUGGCAUUGUAGAUUUUCAGUUAGCUGAUCAUAACAGUAGACUUAAAGCUUUAUUCGAUACUGGAAGUCCAAUUUCACUAAUACGCCGGGGUUUGGUUGAAAAAUUCAAAAUUUCUAAAUUUAAUAACAGUAAAUAUUACCGGAGUAUUAGUGGAAAUAGACUUAAAAUAUUAGGCAUUUUUAGAACUGAAAUAAUUAUCCAAAAUAUUCGUUUCAGAGUUGAAUUCCAUGUAAUCGCGGAUAAGUUUAUGGGACUCGUCGAUGGCAUAAUCGGACGAGAUGUGAUCAUGCGUCCAGAUGUUCGAACGAUUAUUCAAAAUGGAAUCCGAAUGUAUGAGGAUGAUAAAAGGUAUUUGCAGAUUGAAAAUCCAUCAAUGAUAAAGGUAAAUAGAAAUCACAUAUGUAACAUCAGUUCAGAUACGUAUAAAACUUUGAUUAAGAAUAUUGGAAAAGUAACUGAUGACCAAAAGGCAAAAUUUUUAGAAUAUUUCAAAACUUAUUAUUACUUUAAUAAAAAACCUUCAAAACCAGUUACAAACUAUGAAAUGACCAUAAGUCUUAAAAAAGAAGAAUAUUUCCAUUUUAAACCUAGAAGAUUAUCCUUUGCUCAGAAAAAUAAAGUUGAUGAAAAAAUCGAAGAGCUUUUGAAAGAAGGAAUCAUUAAAGAAAGCAAUUCACCUUAUGCGAGUCCAAUUGUAUUAAUUCCCAAAAAGGAUAAUGAUUUCAGACUAUGCGUUGAUUAUAGAAAAUUGAAUAAAAAUACCGUUAGAGAUAAUUACCCAUUGCCUAUUAUAGAUGAUUUAAUUGAUUCUUUGAGAGGUAAAACUGUUUUUUCAAUUAUUGAUCUGAAAUCCGGAUUUCAUCAAAUAAGAAUAGCUGAGGAAUCCACUAAAUAUACAUCGUUUGUAACACCAAAAGGCCAAUAUGAAUAUCUGCGUGUGCCAUUUGGAUUAUGCAAUGCUCCUGCAGUAUUUCAACGAUUUAUAAACAAAAUUUUUAAAGAAUUAAUUGAUGAUGGUAAAAUUAUUGUUUAUAUUGAUGACAUUUUAAUUGCAAGUAAAAAUUUUGAUGAACAUUUUGAAACGUUGGCAAAAGUUUUUCAAAUUUUAAAUGAUAAUUUAUUGGAAAUAAAUGUAAGUAAAUGUCAUUUUUUGUUUGACGAAAUAGAAUACUUAGGUUACACAAUAAAUAAAUUUGGCAAAAAGCUUAAUAAUAGCCAUAUUGAAAAUAUUUCAAAUUUUCCUGUUCCUAAAAAUAGUAAAGAAGUUCAGAGAUUUUUAGGCCUCACUAGCUAUUUCAGAAAAUUUGUCAAAAACUUUGCAACUAUAGCGAGACCUUUGUAUAACCUUUUGAGGAAAGACACAAAAUUUGUAUUUGAUGAUGUAGCAUUAGAAGCGUUUAAUACGUUGAAAAACAGAUUGAUUUCUUCACCAAUUCUUGCAAUUUAUGAUCCACACGCUGAAACACAACUUCACUGUGACGCAAGUUCUCUUGGAUUUGGAGCCAUUCUACUACAAAAACAAAAUGAUAAUAAUUUUCAUCCAGUUUCAUAUUUUAGCAGAAAAACAGAUGAACUUGAAUCAAAAUUACAUAGUUUUGAGCUUGAGACACUGGCAGUAGUUUAUGCCAUCAAAAGAUUUCACAUUUAUUUGUCAGGAAUUCACUUUAAAAUUUUUACGGAUUGUAAUGCUUUGGUGCAAACUUUAUCAAAAAAAGAUGUUAACCCAAAAAUUUGUAGAUGGGUAAUGUUUCUAGAAAACUAUAAUUUUGAUUUACAAUAUAAAGAUGGCUCAAAAAUGCAACAUGUUGAUGCUCUUAGUCGUCAAAAUCCAAUUGAAAAAUAUCAAUCAGUUGAUGACGAAAUUCAACGAAUUGGUUCAAUAGAAGAAAAUAGCGAAGACAACACUAUAAAUGUUCUUAAUGAAAACGAUAUAGAACAAAACAUAAUAAUAGCACAAGAACAAGAUCAGAAAAUAGUUAAAAUAAAACAAUUGUUAGAAAGAUCUUCAUUCCCAGAAUUUGAACUUAUGAAUGGAGUGCUUUUUAAAAAAGAUGGCAUCAAACGACUAUUGGUUGUUCCAAAACUUAUGAUCGAUAAUGUAAUCAAGUUAAAUCAUGACAACUGUGGUCAUAUUGGAAUAGAAAAAACUAUACAUGAGAUUAAAAAACAAUUUUGGUUUAGUAGAAUGAAGAAAUUAGUUAAAAGUUAUAUUAGCAAUUGUUUAACUUGUAUUUUUUAUAGUCCGUCUGAAAGGAAAGAAGGAUUUGUCAAAAUUAUUGAUAAAGGUGAUAAACCUUUCAAUACUAUUCAUUUAGACUAUUAUGGACCAAUUCAGUUACAAUCUUCAAACAGAGCAAAAUAUGUUUUGGUAAUCAUAGAUGCAUUUACAAAAUUUACAAAGUUAUUCCCUACAAAAACCGUUAGCUCAGAUGAAACUAUUGUUCAUUUAACAAAUUUUAUGAACUUUUACAGUAAACCGAAUAGAAUUAUAACGGAUAGAGGCAAAUGUUUUACAUCGAAAAAAUUUAAUGAUUUUAUGAACAUCAAUCACAUUGAACAUGUAAAAACAGCAGCUUAUACUCCUGAGGCAAAUGGCCAAGUUGAGCGGGUAAAUAAGACUUUAACUCCCAUGCUUGCAAAAUUGUGUCACGAAUCAUCGAAAAAAUGGAAUCAGUUGUUACCAAAAGUCGAGUUUGUGUUUAAUAAUACCUAUAAUAGGUCAAUUGGUAAUUUCCCUAGUGUAUUAUUGUUUGGAGUUCAACAGAACAACUUGGAUAGUGAGAAUCAUAAUAUUGCAAAUUUUGUUGCCAAUAAACAAACAUUGUCUGAACCAAUUAACAUUUCGGAUGCUCGCGAAAAUGCUCGUAAUCAAAAUUUUAAAAACCAAGUAUACAAUAAAAGAAAUACCGACCGGAAAAGAAUUAAGUGCACGGUCUAUACUGAAGGUGAUUUCAUAGUAUUGAAAACUGAUGAAAAACAUAAAUUGGCCCCAAAGUAUAAAGGACCGUACAAAAUUCAUAAAGUUUUGCCAAAUGAUAGGUACGUCGUAACUGAUAUUGAUGGAUUUCAAAUUGCAAAUAUUCCGUUUAAUUCGGUUUGUUCUCCUCAAAAUAUGAGGAAAUGGAUGAGUGAUCACAUAUCUGAAGAAAAUGAUAUCGAUGAGGACAUCGAUAAUGUCAGGAUGCCCGAGAUGUAGUAGGCUAUAGUAGGCAUUGACUUAGGAUACAGAUUAGGUUUGACAUUAGACUGGCUUAGAAUGUAAUAAACCACUGAAACAGCAAGACGUGUAAUUAUUGCUAUAUUAUGAAUUUAAAUUAUGAUAUUAUGAGUUGGCAGACAUCAUAAGAACAUGAUUUUUUAUUCAUGAUUAGGGGAAUGGAUUUUUUUCCGUGUACUAACUACUUGUUUCAAUAGUUGAACUUUGUGUAUCAAUAAUCAAAACCCUAUUGAUCUACAACCAAAAUUUUUUUGAUCGAUUUCGAAAAAGUUAGUCAAAUUUCAAUAACUUUUGUUUAACCGUUAUGUGGCCGGCAAACUUUUUGCUUUUUUCUACACUUGUAUUUUAAAUGGGUGCUGGGUAUUCGGGUACCCUGCCGGCCACAUAAUGGUUAAGCACUAUUUUUUGAAACGCUUCUUUGGCAUAUAUAUAGUCGUUAAAAGUCGUGGGAAGGAAAGGGCUAGGGGGUUCCUGCAGAAGUUGCUUUCGAGAUUUUUUUAUGAGGAUUGUUUCAGGAAUUUGAUCUAAGAAUUUCUCCAGCAACUUUUCGAGGUAUUCCUAGAGGUUUCCUAGAAAAACAUCUAGGAAGAUUUCCAGAAAUACUUCGUAGAGAUUCGCAGAAGAAACUUCAGGAAGGUUACAACAGGAAACUCCCAGAAGGAAGUUCUGGAAGUUCUUGGGUAAAAUCCAGAAUGAAUUUCUUAAAGAAUCCUAAUGCCUGAUAGAGCUCUCGCAGAAUCUCGGUAGAAAUAAAUCGACACCUACUGAUAGCAGCUUCCUCUAAGCAGCUUCAAUGCUGUAAUAGUAUUUAUUUUCAAUUAUUAUAACUAUUUCAUGUUAUAAAAAAAAACAUUUUAGUGUACGAUUUCCUCUAUCUACAAAAGAAGCUCCGCUGUCACAACUAAUAAAACACCUUCUGAUCUCUUAUUCUGAUUCCACAAAGCAGUGUUGCCAGUUUUACCGAGCUAAUCAAUUUCUAUCACACCAGUCCAAAAGGAAUUCUAAAAGGGGUAUCUGCAGUAAUCCCCAAAAGAAACUUCUGAAAAUAAACCUCCAAGAACUACUUGGAGAAAUCGCAGGGGUCAGAACUUUUUUAGGUAUCCAAGUAUAAUCAAGGUAACCACGGCAGGCAUCGUACGUGAUUACCUAGAAAAAUUCCAUAACAUUUUUAGAGUAAUCUGAGGAUCGUGAAUAAGAAUCCACAUAUAGAUUCCCAAAGAAACUGCUGGAGGAUAUUUCGGACGAACUUUUAAGAGCCGUCCAUAAAUUACGUAGCUUUUGGACGGUUUUUGAUGCCCUCCUAACCCUAGAAGCAUAAUCAGAGACUUCCCCUCCCCUUAAAAUACUACGUCAUUAAUGAACGACCCCUGAAGGGAUUUCUCUUCGGAAAUACUAGAAGAACUUUCACGUAUGUGUACCAAAAGAUUACCAUGAGGAAUCUCAGGAACAUACUUGGAGGAAACUCGAGGAAACCUGAAAGAGCUUCUGGAGGCUAUUCUUCCCUAAGUUACUGCAGGCAUGCCUCCAAACGUUCCUGUAGAUAUUUCUCCAGCAGUUCCUUCUGGAAAUUCUUUAGAAAACCAUUGGGUAAUUUCCCUAGGAGUUCAUGCAAGAAAUCGUCGGGGAGUUUCUUCAGGAGUUUCUGCAACAAUCUAGAGAUUCUCCAGAGAAAUCAAACAUUGAUGCUGUUAUGGCAACACUGAUCACCCUAAGUCAGUCGUUUGGUUUGCCAGACAUGGAGCUCAAAUAUGGGGCGGCUCCACACAAGCAGGUGGCCAAAAAUAUUUUCGACGGUUUGGAACAGAUACAUGCGGAUUUUCCGGGUAGACAAGGUAGACAUUCCCCUUGAUUCUAGUAGUAAUUCCUGGAACAAUCCCCAGAGGAAUUGUUGGUGUAAUGUUCGGAAGAACUCUGAAGAAUCCUAGGAGAAACUUUUGCAUCCAUUUUAACCCUUUCGGGACGACUUUUUUCACAAACCUCGCCGCUGUAGAACGCGUCAGCGAGUUGGAAAUGGCCCAACCGUCCUGAAAGGGUUAAGGUAUUCUUUGAAUUAUUCCUAAUGAAAUUUCUUGCAAUUUAUUUGAGAAAAAUAAAAUCUAAAGAAACUCUUAACUGUAUUUGUAUCAGUACACCUUAAAACAAAUAAAGCAUCACAAAGUACAUACAUGGUCACGAAGGUAUUACUAGAAAGCAAGCGUAAUUUGUUCAUAGAGGUCAGUUCCUCGUGGGAUCGCGUUACGCUGGAAUGAGUCUUCGUCAGAUAUUCUUCCCGAAGUCCCUUACAGAUAUGCCUCCAGAAGUUCCUUCCGGAAUUUCUCUAGCAGUCCCUUGAAACAUUUCACUUCGAGUUUAUUCAAGAAUUGGCCCCACAAGUUUUUACUAUAAUCUCUCGAAAAAAAAUGCUCUAUAAAUUUCACGAGAAAAUUCUUCCACAAUUUUCCACGAACUCCUGUAAGAGACUUCUCUAGUAGUAUCCUCAGGAUAGUUCAAACAAUCCUGCGUUCGGUGAAAAGAAUUAGCUUUUUAUUCAAGAAAUUCAAGAAAUUAUUUAAAAACCCUGUGUUCUGUAAGGAAUUUCUUUUGGAGCUACUUCGAAAAUUCCUCUAGGAGUUCCUUCAGAGAAUCCAGAGAACCAACUAACCCACACAACAAGUUAAAAUUCUGCGGAAUAGAAAGUCAAACUGGAUUCGAAGUACCACCCUAACCGGGUCCACAACUUUAUCUCUCCUUCGGCUUGUUUAGAUGCCAAUUUCCCGCACUCUCGCGGCCUACGAGCAACAAGUGUGCGUGUAUUGUUUUUAGAAUGUUGAUAUUGAAGCUCGACUGACACAUACUAUGUCACUUAUAGAGAAAGGACUGGAUGGUUUUUAGUAGAAUCAUCUUCAGAAGAAAGUUCUAGAGGAAUGUAGAGUAAAAACCAGAAUUAAUAUCUUGAAGAAUUCUAAUUGAAUGCCUGAUGGAACUGGAAAGGCCAGGAGAAAUUUAAUGAGAAUUAACCGCGGUUUAAUGCUAGAAGAAACUUCUGAAGAAAACUUCGAAGGACCACUUGGACAAAUCGCAGGGGUGUGGACAAACAAAACUGAGGUAACCAAUCGUACGAGAUUACCUAGAGAGGAACUCCAGAACAUUUUUUGGAGAAAUCUGCGAAGGAUCUCAACAAUGAAUCCACAAAUGGAUGCCCAAAGAAAUUGCUGGACGAUUUUUUCGGACGAGCUCCUGGAGAGAUUUCCCUUGGAAAAUUCUAGGAGAACCUUAAAGUAUAUCAAACGAUUACCAUGAGGAAUCUCAAGAACAUGCUUGGAGAAAUCUCAAGGAAUAACAGAAGCUCUUUUGGAGGAUAUUCUUCCCGAACUUCCUACAGGCAUGCCUCAAUAUAUUCUACCAGUAGUUCAUUUUAGAAGAUCAUUGGAAAAUUUCACUAGGAGUUCAUGCAGGAAUUUCUCGGAAGAGUUCCUUCAAGAAUUCCUUCAGGAGUUUUUGCAAUAAUCUCUAGAGAAAUUCCUUCAAUAAAUUCUCUUACAAAUGCUUUCAAAGUUGUUCCACCAGUUCCUCUAAGAAGUAUUUUAGAGACUAAUCCCAUUUGCAGUCCUAUUCGUGCGUUGUCUCCAUUCCUGAACGAGAAAGGAGUUCUACGAGUUGGCGGCAGAAUCGAACGAGCUCCAUCGCUUUCAUAGUCGUGUUGCCGAGAAGUCAUCGGAUCACAUACUUCGUUGUGCUUGGCUUUCACCAGCGGUUCCUUCACGCUAACGCCGAGACGGUACGCAACGAGCUGAGACAACGGUUCUACAUUCCGAGGAUGCGAACAGUAGUACGGAGCGUGUGUUGUCGUAGCUGUCAGUACUGUAAAAUCAGGAAAGCAGCUCCAGUUCCACCGAUGAUGGGACCGCUUCCGAAGAUUCGUCUGAAUCCCUUCAUUCGUCCAUCUACGUACGUCGGCGUAGGCCACUUCGAAGUGAAAGUCGGUCGCAGUAUUGUGAAGCUUUGGAUAGUUUGUUUACGCGUCUCAUAGUUUGAGCUGUUCGUCUGGAGCUAGCACACAGUCUGUUAACUAAGUAAUCUCGGAUAACGGUACCAUCUUUGUGGGAGCCAGUCGUCAGUUGACAAAAGAGAACCAAGGCCAUCAACGAGGAUUAUGCGGCUACGUUCACCAACGCCCGUACGCAGUGGCACUUCAACGUUUCUGCAGCCCCGCAUAUGGGAGGUCCGUGGGAGCGAAUGGUGAAGUCUGUAAAAGUAACAAUGGCAGCAAUAUCUGACAGUCCGCAUCAUCCGAGUUACGAGGUGUUCGAAACCAUAAUGCUGGAAGCAGAGGGAAUUGUUAACAGUCGUCCACUGACCUACGUUACCUUAGAAGCAGCAGAUCAAGAAACGCUCACUCCGAACCGCUUCUUGCUGCUGUACAGUUCAAGCGGCAUAAACCGUUGGAACUUGGGGACCUAGCUGUGAUAAUAGAUAAGCAGACACGGAAAAGUUGGGAAAGAGGACGGAUUCUGGAAGACUUUCCGGACAAAUCAGGUCAAGUUCGACGUGCAGUGGUGCAGACAGCCCGAGGAGUCUUUGCCAGGCCAACAGUUCAGCUAACAGUUUUGGAUGUUUCGAGUAACGACAAGAAGCCGGAUAAAGUCGCUCCGGAAACGGAAGUGAUUCACGGGGCGGGGGAUGUUACGGACAACACUGUUGAGCGCGAAACUAUGGUGAAACCACCGUCCGGUUUCUCGCAACUGAGCGGCUGUUGCCGAGCGGACUGACAGAUCGGAUAGCAACUGACGGAACAGAGAAAAACAGAUCCAUUCAGAUUUUGCUAGUGCACAUAUAGGCAGCAUUUUGCUCAGUGAAUUUAGUGGAAUAUUUCGAUAGUUUCAAUCAGUGAAAAAUAACAGCAGUUUCCGCACACAGUCAGCACCGCACAGUGCAUAAUUAUUGCAGUCAGUUGAGAUUAUUCGAUCCACACCUUUUCCCAGUUACUGACACACCUGGAAGAGACUCAAAAAUACCGAAAAUGUAAGAAGUAACUUAGUAUCUGUUUACUGACCACCGACUAAAUUAGAUUACAGUUUUGUAGCUGCUAAGCCUGCAGCUAGAAGAACUGUGUUUGUUCCGACGAUCGGGAACAGAAUGUGUUGAGCUUCUGGUAGAACUUCUGUGUUACCUGAGAAGUAGUACAACUGUUCCACUUCCUCGCACUCCGCUUCUUCCAGGUGGCGUUUCUCACAGAAGAGGAGGUUCUGGUGUCCCCCUUCCAACUUAAAACGUUCAACGUUCUGCCAUGUCCAAUGCCGCACUGCUGUCCUGCCCUCCAAAAUCAUUCUGCAUUCGUUGAACCAAUCAUUUCGUCGACUCCUUUCCGCGUAUCCGACGGGGUAUUCGGUUUGGUUGUUUAUCGCUGCUUUUACUGUACUCCAGCCGCCUUCACAUCGAACUCGCCCUCGUCCAGCAUCGUUGCCUCUAGAUCAUGUGUGUAUGCUGAGGCGCCAUCCGGUUGCUUGGAGUCAAAGUCGCUCUACAUCGUACCGUGGCGGUCGUCAGUACCGUACAUUGUUAGUGACGAAGAGUUUUUGGGCGUGGUUUGACUGAAUCCGGUGGUGAUCAGAGUCAAUGUUACGCCACGAUAGAUCCUGACGUCGAUAAUGUUGCAGAAAUGCCGUUCAUCAACAACCAAAACGUGUUAGAUUUGCGAUUCCGUUUGCUGUGGUGAUCUCCAGGUUUAUCGAGUAGGAACGAUGUGUUGGAUAAAGGUGCUAUGAAUGAUCGGUGAGUUGUAGGUCAUUUCGUUCAUCCACUUACUUACCUUAUCGAUCAGACUAAGGCCAGGGUGGCCUCUGCUGUACAUAGUUGCCGUCUCCAUUCCACUCGGUCCAUGGCUGUUUGUCUGCAGUUCCGCACUCUGCGUAGGGUCCGCAGAUCGUCCUCAACUUGGUCGACUCACCUAGCUUGCUGCGCACCACGUCUUCUUGUACCGGUCUUGUACCGGUCUCGAGAACCAUUUUAGUCGGGUUGCUAUCCGACAUUCUGAUGACGUGAUCCGCCCACCGUAGCCUCCCGAUUUUCGCGGUGUGGACGAUGGUUGGUUCUCUCAGCAGCUGAUGCAGUUCGUGGUUCAUUCGCCUUCUCCAAGUCCCGUCUUCCAUCUGCCGUCCAUCUUCCGUUCGAAAACUUCAAGGGCGCGUUGAUCCUCUGCACAUAGAGUCCAUUUUCGUGCCCAUAGAGGACUACCGGUUUAAUCAGCGUUUUGUAGAUAGUUAACUUCGUGUGACGGCGAACUUUGUUCGAUCGAAGAGUUCUGCGAAGUCCAAAGUAAGCUCGAUUUCCUGCCAGAAUGCGCCUAUGAAUUUCUCUGUGGCUGUCGUUGUCGGUGGUCACCAGUGGGCCCAAGUACACGAAUUCUUCAACCGCCUCGAUUUCAUCACCGUCGAUAUAAAUUCGGGGUGGCGGGCGUGGUGAUUCCUCCCUGAAGCCCUUUGCCAUCAUGUACUUUGUCUUCGACACAUUAAUGACUAAUCCGAUUCGCCUGGCUUCACUCUUUAGUCGGAUGUACGUUUCCGCCAUCGUCUCAAACUAACGAGCUAUAAUAUCAAUAUCAUCAGCGAAACCAAGCAACUGAACGAAGUUCGUGAAAAUCGUCCCACUCGUGUUUAUCCUCGCUCUCCUUAUUACACCUUCUAACGCAAUGUUGAAAAGCAAUCACGAAGACCAUCAAAUUGCCGUAACCCUCUGCGAGAUUCGAAGGGACUCGAGAGUGUCCCUGAUACUCGAACUACGCACAUCACUCGAUCCAUCGUCGCCUUGAUUAAUCGUAUCAGUUUAUCCAGGAAUCCGUAAUCUGCCAUAGCUGUUCUCGAUCGAUUGUAUCAUACGCCGAUUUGAAAUCGUUGAACAAGUGAUGUGUGGGCACGUUUUAUUCGCGGCAUUUCUGCAACAUCUGGCGGAUGGCGAGCAUCUGGUCCGUUGUAGCGCGUUCACCCAUGAAUCCAGCCUGAUAUUGCCCCACGAACUCUCUUGCAAUCGGUGAUAGACGGUGGCAUAAAAUUUGAGAGAGUACCUUGUAGGCGGCGCUCAGUAGUGUGAUCGCGCGAUAGUUCCCGCAAUCCAACUUAUUGCCCUUUUUGUAGAUGGGACACACGAUACCUUCUAUCCACUCCUCCGGUAAUACUUCCUCCUCCCAAAUCUUGGUAAUGACCCAGUGUAGGGCUCUCACCAGUGCUUCUCCACCGUGUUUUAGUAACUCGCUUGGUAGUUGAUCUGCUCCAGCGGAUAUGUUGUUUUUCAACCGGCUAACCUCUUCAAUCUCUUGAAGGUCAGGGGCUGGAAAUCUUUUGUCCUGUGCACGUACUCCUAGAUCUGUUACCGUUCAUCCACUGUUGGGCUCCAAACUUUACAAUCGUCUGUCUCAAUUACUCCGCCUGGCCUACCUGAGUAUUUAGGUCCCUUAGGUAUGAUGAUCUUAAUGUCGUUGUUUCGGCAGCGAUCUUAUUCGCGUUCCAGUUGCGCGUAGUAGGCGUCUUUGUCAUCAUCAGUGCUUCCUGAGUGAGGGCUGUGCACGUUUGUUUUGCUCAUGUUGAAGCAUCUGUCCUUCAUCCUCAAGAUGUAUAUAGGGCACUGCACGAAAUUCUCUCCUUCUCUUUCACUCUUACAGAAAUUUUGUAAACAACAAGGCCACGAAACGUCAAAAUCCCAUACAAAAUCAAAACAGUGCAGUGCCCUCUUGCUUCGUCGAUCGACCACUAACCAACAACGCACCUCUGCAUAUCACCCAUCAGGAUGAAAGGUGUUCCAAGCUCGCGUGUGUUGCCACAGCUCUGGUAGAUCGUAUGAUUACCUUUAAACGUUCGCAACAAAGUUGAACAAACCUCUUGCAGCGCUACGAUGCCGAACCCGCAGUCCUUUAGUAGAUCGGCAAGUAUGCGGGUGCUCCCGAUGAAGUUGGAGGACAGGCUGUUCCACGUAUCGAGCUUCCAAUCGUAAUUCCGUCUUCUUCGCUGAGAUUGUUGGUUUCGUUUCGUAUUACUGUAUUGUUAACUUUCCGUUGCAACUAUUUUCGCAUUUUUUUUUGGUGAGCCCGUUCUAUGUUACUAUUUUUCAACCAUGGGCCUUUUCACAAAUUACGCGAGUGUUUUGCCGUUGUCAUGACACACACAUACAGACGCACAUUAUCUCGAAUGCGCCACCCAUGUGCGAGUGUGCGUGCACUAGCUGGUCUGUCCGCCGUGUUCGUAGCUUGGCUCUUCUCAUGGCUGAAUUUGGUGCUGUUUUCGCAAUAGUAUCUAGCAGCAGCAGCACCGAGGCAAGCAGAUUUUUCUCGCUUCUUCUGUUGGAUGGCUCUCGUCCGUCGUCGGUCGCGUUGUAGUCGAUUGUAGUGUUCACCUCUAGCAGCAAGCAGAUUGUUCCUCGUCGCGAAGUCGUCGCCAAAAGAAAAACGCGAAAAAGAAUACUAGUGCCUAGAGGAGCCAGUCUUCGGUGCAACAGAAGCAACCAGUCAGUCUGCCAGUCUGUCAGUGAGAUGAAGAUCUUCCAAGGAUAAGUUUCUCUUUUUGCUGCUUCGCCAGACACAGCUCGACAAAACGACGAAAAGCUAGAUUCUUUGAUAUUGUUCAAUCGGAUUCACGGUGCAGUGGCCAGUUGUGGAUACAAAUAGCGCGGAAGACGAAGAAAAUGCUAAAGAAAACAAAAG